AGUGAACGCUGGCGGUAGGCCUAACACAUGCAAGUCGAACGGCAGCACAGGAGAGCUUGCUCUCUGGGUGGCGAGUGGCGGACGGGUGAGGAAUACAUCGGAAUCUACUCUGUCGUGGGGGAUAACGUAGGGAAACUUACGCUAAUACCGCAUACGACCUACGGGUGAAAGCAGGGGAUCUUCGGACCUUGCGCGAUUGAAUGAGCCGAUGUCGGAUUAGCUAGUUGGCGGGGUAAAGGCCCACCAAGGCGACGAUCCGUAGCUGGUCUGAGAGGAUGAUCAGCCACACUGGAACUGAGACACGGUCCAGACGCCUACGGGAGGCAGCAGUGGGGAAUAUUGGAAAAUGGGCGCAAGCCUGAUCCAGCCAUACCGCGUGGGUGAAGAAGGCCUUCGGGUUGUAAAGCCCUUUUGUUGGGAAAGAAAUCCAGCUGGCUAAUACCCGGUUGGGAUGACGGUACCCAAAGAAUAAGCACCGGCUAACUUCGUGCCAGCCGCCGCGGUAA
rnacentral:rRNA from 1 species